GCCUCAGUAGCUCAGUUGGUAGAGCAGCCGCCUUGUAAGCGGCAGGUCGCGGGUUCGACUCCUGUCUGGGGCUCCA
rnacentral:tRNA from 1 species